GUUAUGUGUGUUUUAGUGGAACGCUCUGGGAAGUGCGAACGUAGAGGGUGAUAUUCCCGUACACGAAAGGGCACACAUAAUGAUGACGAGUAGGGCGAGGCACGUGAAACCUUGUCUGAAUAUGGGGGGACCAUCCUCCAAGGCUAAAUACUCCUGACUGACCGAUAGUGAACCAGUACCGUGAGGGAAAGGCGAAAAGAACCCCUGUGAGGGGAGUGAAAUAGAUCCUGAAACCGCAUGCAUACAAGCAGUGGGAGCACCUUCGUGGUGUGACUGCGUACCUUUUGUAUAAUGGGUCAGCGACUUAUAUUCAGUAGCGAGGUUAACCGUAUAGGGGAGCCGUAGAGAAAUCGAGUCUUAAUAGGGCGUUUAGUUGCUGGGUAUAGACCCGAAACCAGGCGAUCUAUCCAUGAGCAGGUUGAAGGUUGGGUAACACUAACUGGAGGACCGAACCCACUGUCGUUGAAAAGCCAGGGGAUGACUUGUGGAUAGGGGUGAAAGGCUAAUCAAGCCUGGUGAUAGCUGGUUCUCCCCGAAAGCUAUUUAGGUAGCGCCUCGGACGAAUACCAUAGGGGGUAGAGCACUGUUUCGGCUAGGGGGUCAUCCCGACUUACCAAACCGAUGCAAACUCCGAAUACCUAUGAGUACUAUCCGGGAGACAGACUGCGGGUGCUAACGUCCGUAGUCAAGAGGAAAACAAUCCAGACCGCCAGCUAAGGCCCCAAAAUCAUAGUUAAGUGGGAAACGAUGUGGGAAGGCAUAGACAGCUAGGAGGUUGGCUUAGAAGCAGCCACCCUUUAAAGAAAGCGUAAUAGCUCACUAGUCGAGUCGGCCUGCGCGGAAGAUGUAACGGGGCUAAAACUAUGUGCCGAAGCUGCGGAUGUAUACUUUGUAUACGUGGUAGGGGAGCGUUCUGUAAGCCGAUGAAGGUGUGUUGAGAAGCAUGCUGGAGGUAUCAGAAGUGCGAAUGCUGACGUGAGUAACGACAAAACGGGUGAAAAACCCGUUCGCCGAAAGACCAAGGGUUCCAGUCCAACGUUAAUCGGGGCUGGGUGAGUCGACCCCUAAGGCGAGGCCGAAAGGCGUAGUCGAUGGGAAAAUGGUUAAUAUUCCAUUACUUCUGUGUAAUGCGAUGAGAGGACGGAGAAGGCUAAAUCAGCCUGGCGUUGGUUGUCCAGGUGAAAGGAUGUAGGCAUGUAUCUUAGGCAAAUCCGGGGUACUCUAUGCUGAGAUCUGAUAGCAAGCUGUACUUGUACAGCGAAGUGGUUGAUGCCAUGCUUCCAGGAAAAGUCUCUAAGCUUCAGUUACACAGGAAUCGUACCCGAAACCGACACAGGUGGUCAGGUCGAGUAGACCAAGGCGCUUGAGAGAACUCUGCUGAAGGAACUAGGCAAAAUGGUACCGUAACUUCGGGAGAAGGUACGCUGUUGUUGGUGAUGGAACUCGCUUCCUGAGCUGACGACAGCCGCAGAAACCAGGCCGCUGCAACUGUUUAUUAAAAACAUAGCACUCUGCAAACACGAAAGUGGACGUAUAGGGUGUGAUGCCUGCCCGGUGCUGGAAGGUUAAUUGAUGGGGUUAGCGUAAGCGAAGCUCUUGAUCGAAGCCCCAGUAAACGGCGGCCGUAACUAUAACGGUCCUAAGGUAGCGAAAUUCCUUGUCGGGUAAGUUCCGACCUGCACGAAUGGCAUAAUGAUGGCGGCGCUGUCUCCAGCAGAGGCUCAGUGAAAUCGAAAUCGCUGUGAAGAUGCAGUGUACCCGCGGCUAGACGGAAAGACCCCGUGAACCUUUACUGCAGCUUGACACUGAACUUUGACCUUACUUGUGUAGGAUAGGUGGGAGGCUUUGAAGCUGGAACGCUAGUUCCAGUGGAGCCGUCCUUGAAAUACCACCCUGGUAAUGUUGAGGUUCUAACUCUGUCCCGUGAUCCGGGACGAGGACCGUGUCUGGUGGGUAGUUUGACUGGGGCGGUCUCCUCCUAAAGAGUAACGGAGGAGUACGAAGGUGCGCUCAGCGUGGUCGGAAAUCACGCGUAGAGUAUAAAGGCAAAAGCGCGCUUAACUGCGAGACCCACAAGUCGAGCAGGUACGAAAGUAGGUCUUAGUGAUCCGGUGGUUCUGUAUGGAAGGGCCAUCGCUCAACGGAUAAAAGGUACUCUGGGGAUAACAGGCUGAUACCGCCCAAGAGUUCAUAUCGACGGCGGUGUUUGGCACCUCGAUGUCGGCUCAUCUCAUCCUGGGGCUGAAGCAGGUCCCAAGGGUAUGGCUGUUCGCCAUUUAAAGAGGUACGCGAGCUGGGUUUAGAACGUCGUGAGACAGUUCGGUCCCUAUCUACCGUGGGCGCUGGAAAUUUGAGAGGAUCUGCUCCUAGUACGAGAGGACCAGAGUGGACGAACCUCUGGUGUACCGGUUGUGACGCCAGUCGCAUCGCCGGGUAGCUAUGUUCGGAAGGGAUAACCGCUGAAAGCAUCUAAGCGGGAAGCCUACCUCAAGAUAAGAUUUCCCUAGGACUUUAUGUCCUCUAAAGAGCCGUUCGAGACUAGGACGUUGAUAGGUUGGAUGUGGAAGCAUAGUGAUAUGUGAAGCUGACCAAUACUAAUUGCUCGUGAGGCUUGACUAU
rnacentral:rRNA from 1 species